rnacentral:rRNA from 1 species
ACUACGGGUGGCAGCAGUGGGGAAUAUUGGGCAAUGGGCGCAAGCCUGACCCAGCAACGCCGCGUGAAGGAAGAAGGCUUUCGGGUUGUAAACUUCUUUUCUCAGGGACGAAGAAAGUGACGGUACCUGAGGAAUAAGCCACGGCUAACUACGUGCCAGCAGCCGCGGUAAUACGUAGGUGGCAAGCGUUAUCCGGAUUUAUUGGGUGUAAAGGGCGUGUAGGCGGGAGCGCAAGUCAGAUGUGAAAACUCAGGGCUCAACCCUGAGCCUGCAUUUGAAACUGUGUUUCUUGAGUGCUGGAGAGGCAAUCGGAAUUCCGGGUGUAGCGGUGAAAUGCGUAGAUAUACGGAGGAACACCAGUGGCGAAGGCGGAUUGCUGGACAGUAACUGACGCUGAGGCGCGAAAGCGUGGGGAGCAAACAGGAUUAGAUACCCUUGUAGUC